AUGAUCCGAAGAGGUUUGAUUAGUGCAUCAAGAUCAUCAGCCUCUGUGCCAAGUUCCCCUGAGUCCAGUUCCAUCAGCUGUAUGCCGUCCGGCGCAUCAACACUCUGUAUGCUGUCUGGCACAUCAACACUCUGUAUGCUGUCCGGCGCAUCAACACUCUGUAUGCUGUCCAGCGCAUCAACGCCUUCUUCACCAUCAAUGUCAAGUGUGAUAAAGUCAGUGAAGUCCCCACCUGAGAAAAUAUCAUGUUGCUGUUUCUGUCUGUCAUCUUGGCCUGAAGAAACUUUGCUUGUCUCGCUGUCAUGUCUAAUGCUGGUGUCAAAAUACCGUCCCCAGCUACUGUUUUGGGGGGUGUCUGGUCUGCUUCUCUUAGGUUUGAUUGUCUUCUUGGUGGGGUGA
rnacentral:rRNA from 1 species